GACGAACGCUGGCGGCGUGCCUAAUACAUGCAAGUCGAGCGAAGUGGAGAGAGCUUGCUCUCAAAGCUUAGCGGCGAACGGGUGAGUAACACGUGGGCAACCUGCCUGACAGACCGGGAUAACUUGGGGAAACUCAAGCUAAUACCGGAUAGGAUCGCGAGCCGCAUGGAUCGCGAUGGAAAGUCUGAACGACACUGUCAGAUGGGCCCGCGGCGCAUUAGCUAGUUGGUGGGGUAAUGGCCUACCAAGGCGACGAUGCGUAGCCGACCUGAGAGGGUGACCGGCCACACUGGGACUGAGACACGGCCCAGACUCCUACGGGAGGCAGCAGUAGGGAAUCUUCCACAAUGGGCGAAAGCCUGAUGGAGCAACGCCGCGUGAGUGAUGAAGGUUUUCGGAUCGUAAAACUCUGUUGUUAGGGAAGAACACCCGGGAGAGGAUCCCGGCUUGACGGUACCUAACGAGGAAGCCCCGGCUAACUACGUGCCAGCCGCCGCAGUAACAC
rnacentral:rRNA from 1 species